UGUGUCUGUUAGAUUAAUUACUUUUAAGUUUUGUGUAAGGAGGGACUUGUAAAUGUAAUGUGAGCACCCUAUACACACAUACACACACACACACACACACACACACAUAUAUAUAUAUAUAUAUAUAUAUAUAUAUUACCUGGAAAAAAAAUACAUUUACUGUUACUAAGAAUUUAUUUUAUACAUGUUCUUUGCAAAAUUGUACAGUAAGGCGUAAAGGUCUCAAUUGUUGAGUAAGGUGACCAGAUAAGUAGUUGGUAUGUAUUACUAGUACAGUGAUCCCUCAACUUACAAUGGCUUCAACAUACAAUAGUUUCAACAUACAAUGGUCUUUUCUAGACCAUUGUAACUUGAAACUAGACUCAACAUACAAUGCUACAGACAGUCCAGAUCUGCAAAACUUGUCAAUGACUGGAAGAACCGACCAAUCGGAAUGGACAUUUCGCUACCAAAACUCCUGUAUUCCUGAAGCACAUGCAUUGAAUGGCUGUCUGGUACCGCCCCCUACAGUACAGGGAGGUACUACAUGUUCUAUACUACUCUUUACCUGUGCCAAGCAUUUCAGAUCCAGGUGGCAGCAAAAUUAAUUAUUGUCAAUAUUUCAUACUUUAAGCUAAAAAAAUUAUGAAAUUCAGUCAUAGUAAUGGAUUGAUACAGAGGUCAACUACCAGACAUCAGUUCUUUUAAUAAAGAGGUUGUUAAUUUGUCUGUCCAAGAGGAUCGAGCCAACAAUUCCAAAGAGAAGUUUCAAAGAGAGUUGAUAAUUGUGAGUCUGCUGAGCGCUGCCUACAAUUUGAAGACAGUUUUCUUUUAUUUCGAUAAUAAAAAGAGAUGGGCUGGAUAGACGGUUGAUUAAAAUUUACUCACGUUCCAAAUACUAAAGGGAAGUUUUAUGCUCAGACAUUUAUUCUGACUAAAUGCUACAGUUAAAGUUAUCCUGUACAUGCCAAGACUCUAUAUUCAUUUUAGUAUUCCACAUUUGGAACUGAAAUUUCUGCACAGUUGUUUCGAGAAUUUAUAGGUUUUACAUAGAAACUAGCAUUUUAUUCAAGCCCUAAAAACAGAAUGUCAGGAAUGGACGUAGCAUUGAGGGUAAUGAAAAUGCAAGAUCGUAACUGUGAAAUGUUUGAUGGUAUAUCAUUUAAAUAAAUAAAAAUAAGCAAGUUACAUAUCAUGUUAUAAAUUUACUACCUUUUACUAUUUAAUUCAGGGCUCCGGGCAGGUGAUUUCUUCAGGAAUUUAGCCCUGCUUCGGGCAAGCAGCACUAAAUGCCGGAAGACUUCACACACGUAUUCACACACUGCUACUGUACCUAUAUUUCCCUGCUGCAGCCUAUAACAAGCCUUACUGGAGGGAUGCGCGCGAUUCUUGACAUCAUCGCAUCCGCAUCCCCAUCACCUAACGCGUGCAUCCCCACAAAGAAGGCUCGUUUUAGGCUGCAGCAGGGAGAUGUAAGUACUGUAGCUGUGAAACUUAACUUUCCUAAUUACUUGCCUAAUAAAGGAGGACCUGCUUAUCACCAGGGGCUAACCUAUCUUCUUAGGGGGCAUAAUUAUUUAAAUAGGAGCCCUACCUGCCGGGGGUAAUAUCUAUCUGGGGCCUAUACACCUAUUGGGAACCCCUACCUGAUCAUCAGGUAGGGCUCCCCAGAAGGUAGAGAGGCCCCCAGAUAGAUAUUACCCCAUCCGCGAUGGGGAUCAUAUCUAUCUGGGGCCUCUAUGCCUACCUGGAAGCUCUACCUCAUGGGGGUCAUAUCUAUCUGGGGGCCUAUGUACCUACUGGGGAGCCCUACCAGAUGGGGGUCAUAUCAAUCUGGGGGCCUGUCUGGGGGCAUGAUGGGGGCAUUAUA